rnacentral:rRNA from 1 species
UAAUACAGAGGGGGCAAGCGUUGUUCGGAAUUACUGGGCGUAAAGGGCGCGUAGGCGGCCUGCUAAGUCGAACGUGAAAUCCCCGGGCUCAACCCGGGAACUGCGUCCGAGACUGGAAGGCUCGAAUCCGGGAGAGGGAUGUGGAACUCCAGGUGUAGCGGUGAAAUGCGUAGAUAUCUGGAGGAACAUCGGUAGCGAAGGCGGCAUCCUGGACCGGUAUUGACGCUGAGGCGCGAAAGCCAGGGGAGCAAACGGGA